rnacentral:tRNA from 1 species
GCCCGGAUAGCGCAGUCGGUUAGCGCGUCAGUCUCAUAAUCUGAAGGUCGCGAGUUCGAGUCUCGCUCUGGGCA